rnacentral:rRNA from 1 species
AUUGAACGCUGGCGGCAGGCCUAACACAUGCAAGUCGAGCGGCAGCGGAAAGUAGCUUGCUACUUUGCCGGCGAGCGGCGGACGGGUGAGUAAUGUCUGGGAAACUGCCUGAUGGAGGGGGAUAACUACUGGAAACGGUAGCUAAUACCGCAUAACGUCGCAAGACCAAAGAGGGGGACCUUCGGGCCUCUUGCCAUCAGAUGUGCCCAGAUGGGAUUAGCUAGUAGGAGGGGUAACGGCUCACCUAGGCGACGAUCCCUAGCUGGUCUGAGAGGGUGACCAGCCACACUGGAACUGAGACACGGUCCAGACUCCUACGGGAGGCAGCAGUGGGGAAUAUUGCACAAUGGGCGCAAGCCUGAUGCAGCCAUGCCGCGUGUAUGAAGAAGGCCUUCGGGUUGUAAAGUACUUUCAGCGGGGAGGAAGGUGUUGAGGUUAAUAACCUCAGCAAUUGACGUUACCCGCAGAAGAAGCACCGGCUAACUCCGUGCCAGCAGCCGCCGUAAUAC